CGGACACAGAUUUCAAAGGCAGCAGGAUAAAGGAUAAACAGUUAAGAAUUACUGUGAUCAUAUUAUAAUGAAGUAAUCGAACUUCGUUAUCUGGUCUUCCUGCUGUGUAUCAGGUCUGUGUUCAUCAAGACAUGAAGACUCUGAGAGUGGGACAAGAGAAGGCUGUUGGGGUGUUAUUCCAAUAGACACAUUAAGGUAAAGCGGUGGUACAAUGAUGCAGACAGGACAGGAGGAGGUGACAUUCCGACAUUCAGCGCAGACACUUUCAUCCAAAGCAACUUGAGGAAGAAAACAAGAAGCAGUUCAUCCUAAAAGUGGGCUGUUGUAAUGUUUACAUCUAUGGAAAGAGGAGCUGAGAAGAAAAGAGACACUGGAAAGCAGUACUUCUUGUUGAGGACAAUCCUGAAUAGGAACACUUUCUCAUACACAUAGAUUAUUAUUAGUGUUUGAUUUUUUUUUUUUCAUUUUUAUUAAUUGUAUUGUUUUAAUUUUUCGUUUUAUUUGAAAUUACCCAAGUUAUAUUCAUGCUAAUACUUUAACUGGAACUUGUAUGUUUGCGUGAAGCUGGCUGUAGAGUUGGUUUCACAUGAAGUUUCUAAAUAACUUAACUAACUUUUAAGUUCAGUUUGGUUUAAACCCAUGGUAAUUCUUUUAAAUUUCAAUUCAUGCUAAAAUAUUAAUUUCAAUGAAAACUUCUGUAUUUGUGUAUAGCUGGUAAUUUGGGCAGACUAAAUUUCACACACUGUAACUGUCACAAAGUUUUUUUUAUUAUUAGUUUGUUCUAAACUUUUGUUUGUUUACUAAGGAUGAAAUUGCUUUGUAAUUUGUUGGUGUUAGUUUCAUGCCAAUAAUGUAGUUGAACAAACUAGUACUUUUGUUUAUUGCUGGCAGUUUAUACUAGAAGAGUUUUAACACAUACAAUGUCGUAGUGUUAUUGACUUGUGUGUUAUUGAUUAAUAAAAAGGCAAACAAUUUGAAAGUAAUUUUUCGUGUGAUUUAUUUAUUAAUAUAAUUUGGGCAAGAUAAGGCUGAGUUAUGGCUCAGUUUUGGAAGUUCUGGUUAAAUGCUGGUUUUAAUAUGGUUGAGAACUGGUACCAAUGUUAGAUUAUGGGCUAUUAUCUG